rnacentral:rRNA from 1 species
UACAGAGGGAGGCAAGCGUUGUUCGGAAUUACUGGGCGUAAAGGGCGCGUAGGCGGCCUUCUAAGUCGAACGUGAAAUCCCCGGGCUCAACCCGGGAACUGCGUCCGAUACUGGAAGGCUUGAAUCCGGGAGAGGGAUGCGGAAUUCCAGGUGUAGCGGUGAAAUGCGUAGAUAUCUGGAGGAACACCGGUGGCGAAGGCGGCAUCCUGGACCGGUAGUUGACGCUGAGGCGCGAAAGCCAGGGGAGCAAAGCGGGAUUAAGAUGACCCGGAGUAGUCC